UACGUAGGGGGCAAGCGUUGUCCGGAUUUAUUGGGCGUAAAGAGCGUGUAGGCGGCCAGACAGGUCCGUUGUGAAAACUGGAGGCUUAACCUUCAGACGUCGAUGGAAACCGUCUGGCUAGAGUCCGGAAGAGGAGAGUGGAAUUCCUGGUGUAGCGGUGAAAUGCGCAGAUAUCAGGAAGAACACCGGUGGCGAAGGCGGGUCUCUGGGCCGAUAUUGACGCUGAGGAGCGAAAGCGUGGGGAGCGAACAGG
rnacentral:rRNA from 1 species